GACGAACGCUGGCGGCGUGCUUAACACAUGCAAGUCGAACGGAAAGGCCCUGCUUUUGUGGGGUGCUCGAGUGGCGAACGGGUGAGUAACACGUGAGUAACCUGCCCUUGACUUUGGGAUAACUUCAGGAAACUGGGGCUAAUACCGGAUAGGUGCUCCUGCUGCAUGGUGGGGGUUGGAAAGUUUCGGCGGUUGGGGAUGGACUCGCGGCUUAUUAGCUUGUUGGUGGGGUAGUGGCUUACCAAGGCUUUGACGGGUAGCCGGCCUGAGAGGGUGACCGGCCACAUUGGGACUGAGAUACGGGCCAGACUCCUACGGGAGGCAGCAGUGGGGAAUAUUGCACAAUGGGCGGAAGCCUGAUGCAGCAACGCCGCGUGCGGGAUGACGGCCUUCGGGUUGUAAACCGCUUUCGCCUGUGACGAAGCGUGAGUGACGGUAAUGGGUAAAGAAGCACCGGCUAACUACGUG
rnacentral:rRNA from 1 species